UACGUAGGGUGCAAGCGUUGUCCGGAAUUAUUGGGCGUAAAGAGCUCGUAGGCGGUCUGUCGCGUCUGCUGUGAAAACCUGGGGCUUAACCCCGGGCCUGCAGUGGGUACGGGCAGACUAGAGUGUGGUAGGGGAGACUGGAAUUCCUGGUGUAGCGGUGAAAUGCGUAGAUAUCGGGAGGAACACCAGUGGCGAAGGCGGCUUCCUGGCCUGUUCUUGACGCUGAGGCGCGAAAGCUAGGGGAGCAAACGGG
rnacentral:rRNA from 1 species